rnacentral:rRNA from 1 species
AACGAACGCUGGCGGCAUGCCUAACACAUGCAAGUCGAACGAGACCUUCGGGUCUAGUGGCGCACGGGUGAGUAACGCGUGGGAACCUGCCCUUAGGUUCGGAAUAACUCCCCGAAAGGGGUGCUAAUACCGGAUAAUGUCUUCGGACCAAAGAUUUAUCGCCUUUGGAUGGGCCCGCGUUGGAUUAGCUAGUUGGUAGGGUAAAAGCCUACCAAGGCGACGAUCCAUAGCUGGUCUGAGAGGAUGAUCAGCCACACUGGGACUGAGACACGGCCCAGACUCCUACGGGAGGCAGCAGUGGGGAAUAUUGGACAAUGGGCGAAAGCCUGAUCCAGCAAUGCCGCGUGAGUGAUGAAGGCCUUAGGGUUGUAAAGCUCUUUUACCCGGGAUGAUAAUGACAGUACCGGGAGAAUAAGCUCCGGCUAACUCCGU